ensembl:lncRNA
AUGGGUCUACCAUUGGUCGGUUUAGGAUUGCUGGGGCCAGUAGGGUUGGCUGCAGGCGUUUUAGGCGGGGUGGCGUUAAUUGGUGUCCUCGGAAAUAAUCCGACACUUGAAGUGGUGUCCCAAAGAAAUGUAUACCCCAGGGAUGAAGAAGAUACAGUAGACCCCAGUGAUGAAGAAGACCUAGUAGAAUGUGGUAUUUCCAGAAAAAGAAAGAUCUACACUUUAAAAAGCAUAGAGAAGAGAGAAGAGACAAGGAAAAGAAAGAAAGAAGAGAGGAAGGAGGCAGGAGGAGUAGGACAAGAUGAGUCCAGCAGCGAUGAUGAGUCCUGCAGCGAUCAAACGUCCAGCAGCGAUGAAGCGUCCAGCAGCGAUGAAGAGUCCAGCAGCGACGAAGAGUCCAGCAGCAAUGAAGAAGGCCUUGGAGAUGUUGGUCCAUAUAAAAAGGUUAAAAAAGGACACCGUAUGCGCAGUAAAAAAGGGAGAACCAGAAAAGACGCAGAUCAUAUUCCACCACGGGCGUCACUCAGGAGAGCCCGAGAGGAUGAUUACCUGCUGGACCGACUCCGAGACGUGAAUCCAGGCCUUUAUAGGAUGAUCAUGAGCCUCGAUACUGACCCACGCGGACAGGACCUGUUAGCCAUGCUAGUUCGCCGCAGGCAUCACCGAAUGGCUCUAACCACCGGCAGAAGCAUGGAAUCUUGUUUGAGCAGGCAGCUGCUCGCAGAUACAAUGCUAAAGGGAAACGGUGGGAAAGUGUUUAAGUUCCUCACUCUUAUGAGUAAUCCUCAAUCUAGCUGGAACAUCAGAAAAGAUGCAGGACUGGCCAGUGGUGAUUAUUCUGCUGACGAUUCAAGGGAUUAUUACAGACGUGGUUAUCGCCGCCUGCUCCAAGAAUUCCACAGGAUGGGGAUCGUCAGCGAUGGGGAAAUAUGUGAGCUGAAAUUAUGGGUGGAUCAAAAAAAGUACCUGAAGCGGGAUUCCCCAGAGUAUCAGCUGAUCCUUGAAGAAAUUCGACUUUACAAUCUUUUCUUUAACUAAGGCAGCAAAAAAUUAAUAUAUUUGUCUAUAAGCUUCUUGAACAUAUUCUGAAAAAAUAUAGAUCAUGAAUAUCUUUAUACUAUUGCUGUGAUAUGCAAAGUAUGGAAUUCAUUAUAGAUCAUUUAACUUUAAUAGUUGUUGAAAAUCAAGUAUUUUAAUCAUGUCUCUGGAGAAUAUUGUAUACAAAAACAUAUCAUACUAAACUCUUUAAAGCAGAUGUUUUUUUUUCUCCAUAAAAGUAAAUAAAAAAUACAGUCUUGAUGUUAAGCUGAAAAUGUUCAUUUGGAUUUACAGUACCAGUCAAACAUUCAUUCAAGGGUAUUUGUUUUUUAUUUCCACAUUGUAGAAUAAUAGUGAAGAUAUCAGAACUAAAAAUUACACAUUUGGAGUCAUGUAUUAAACAAAAAGUGUAAACAAAUCAAUAUACAAUUAUAUUUUAGAUUGUUCAAAGUGGCCACCCUUUGUCUUGAUGACAGCUUUGGACGCUCUUGGCAUUCUCUCAACCAGCCUUCUCUCAAGGAUAUAGACCUGGUUUGUAGAUAUAGACCUGGUUUGUAGAUAUAGACCUGGUUUGUAGAUAUAGACCUGGUUUGUAGAUAUAGACCUGGUCUUUUAUUUCCCGCCUCUCUAAUAUAGGUUUUGAGGCCCAUUGUCCAGAAAGUACUUUCUAUGGAUACCCAAUUUGUGGUUGUUUAUUAUAAUAUUAUUGAAUAUAUAUAUAUAUUAUUUUUUUUUCUUCAGAUUCCUGUAGAUACAUUAUAAUGUAAUCUUUACUGUCAUUAUUGAUUAUAAUUGAGCGAUAACUGUUGCAAUGUCUUAAAUCAUUGUUUUGACAUUUAUGAUAUUAUCAACAUGACGUCAUUUUAUUUUUUCAUUAAUAUAAAAUCAAAUUAAUCAGAAAUACAGUGUGGACAUUGUUAAUGUUGUAAAUGACUACUGAAGCUGGAAAUGGCAGAUAUUUUUCAUGGAAAAUCUGCACAGGCCCAUUAUCAGCAACCAUCAUGCCUGUGUUCCAAUGGCAUAUUGUGUUUGCUCAUCCAAGUCUAUAAUUUGAAAAGUCUGAUUGGUCAUUAGAAAACCAUUUUGCGAUUAUGUUAGCACCUCUGAAAAUGUUUGGGCAGAUUAGUGAAGCAAUAAAACUGCCCUUCUUUAGACUAGUUCAGUAUCUUCAGCAUCAGCAUUUGUGGGUUUAAUUACAGGCUCAAAAUGGCCAGAAAUAAAGAAGUAUCUUCUGAAACUUGUCAGUUGAUUAUUGUUCUGAGAAAUGUAGGCUAUUCUAUAUGAGAAAUUGCCAAGAAGUUGAAGAUCUCGUACAACGAUACGUAGUACUCUCUUCACAGAACAGAACAGUGUAAACUGGCUCUAACCAGAACAUGAAGAGGAGUGGGAGGCCCCGGUGCUCAACUGUGCAAGUGGACAAAUGUGAUGAAG